GACGAACGCUGGCGGCGUGCUUAACACAUGCAAGUCGAACGGAAAGACCCUGCUUUUGUGGGGUGCUCGAGUGGCGAACGGGUGAGUAACACGUGAGUAACCUGCCCUUGACUUUGGGAUAACUUCAGGAAACUGGGGCUAAUACCGGAUAGGAGCUCCUGCUGCAUGGUGGGGGUUGGAAAGUUUCGGCGGUUGGGGCUGGACUCGCGGCUUAUCAGCUUGUUGGUGGGGUAGUGGCUUACCAAGGCUUUGACGGGUAGCCGGCCUGAGAGGGUGACCGGCCACAUUGGGACUGCGAUACGGCCCAGACUCGUACGGGAGGCAGCAGUGGGGAAUAUUGCACAAUGGGCGGAAGCCUGAUGCAGCAGCGCCGCGUGCGGGAUGACGGCCUUCGGGUUGUAAACCGCUUUCGCCUGUGACGAAGCGUGAGUGACGGUAAUGGGUAAAGAAGCACCGGCUAACUACGUG
rnacentral:rRNA from 1 species